rnacentral:lncRNA from 1 species
AUGCCAUGUAUUGAAGUUAAGGCCAAAAAAAAGUUGUUAAAUUCUUGUCAGCAGAGCAUCCUUCUAGAUCAGGCUGGUUUCAGACAGCCUGAAAGCUCAGCAGAUGGCUCUUGCCCAGGUCUAAAUUUUCAUUCACUGCUUGGUUCUCUCGUAGGGUGGAACUGGAAACUGAUCUUUCUAGGGAAGUGGAGGAUGAGCAAGUGGAGCAUCGACGUGGGUGCAGAAUAUCAAUGCAUCACCCUGUGUCCUGGUUGCAGUGUUAACAGAUGGUUUGUUGUUCUGGGUGGGGAGAAGUGUUGUUGAUAAUGGGGCAUCAGUUGGCAGGCAGUUGUAUUGUUGGCUGGGUAUUGGUCAGCAGGUGGCAAUUAAUUGCAUUGUAGAGGUAGAUAUAUAUUUGUAAACACAUUUUUGUUUUGCUUUUCUAUCUCAGUAAAUAGUCUUUAUCUCAACUCAUGAGUUCUAUUUGGUUUCCCGUUCUCUCCCUCAUCCCACUUAGCAGGUGAAUGAGCUGUGUGGUGCUGAGCUGCUGCUGGGUUAAACCACAAUGCCCUUAUACCUUCAUCAGAAGAUCUGCGGGGACCCAGCAAUGUGUUCUCAUCAACUGAGAGAAACGUGGCACUAGCAACCGCACAGACUCCUUUGUUUAGUAUGGAAAGUUAGAUCAUUGUAAGAAAAACAUUUCCAUAGUUUCUGUAGUGUUAAAAGACAAAUAUGAAUGUCUUAAUCAGGGGCAAAAGUUUGCUGGCCUAUGAGUAACUUUGUUAUUCAAAACAAACUUGAUGGCAUUUGUGGUUGGACACAGUUUAGCUCUGUAUAUACAUCUCCUUAGUCUGCACAGGCUACAGAAAACGGACUAAUAAGAACCUCAUGUUGGUUAUAAUCCAAAUCCUAAUUUAAAGGUUUUUGUUGCCAGUGCAAGAUUAAACCUGUUUCUUCCUACUUAUUAAAAACGAUGCCAAAAUAAUUUAAAUCAGACUCAUAUGAUGGUAAAACUACAGGGAGCUCCAGUGGUAAUGUGUUGCUAUUGCAGUGUCACUGCUUACUGGUAUGGACUCUAAAACAUCAUCAGCUUGAAGUUAUUCAGCUCUAGUCUUUACCUGUAGUGCUGUUAUAGAGAAGGCUGUAUGAAAAGAUUCUGUACUCUGUCCAGAAAUGCUGUGUUUGUAGGAACACAAGGCCAGAAGGGAUACCAAAGUCAGUGCAUGUCAUAAUCAUAGUAAUGUGAAAACAGCAGUGAGUUCAAGGUGGUUCCCAGCACAGUAACUUCACUGACUCUUAGUACAGCAUCCGAGGAGCUACAGGGCAUUUCCUUGUAUCCUAGAAGAUUAGCAGCUGUAAUUAAAAAAAAAAAAAAAUCAGAUAGUAGAGUUCUAAUGCAUUAAAGAAGCUGAGGGAAUCACCAAAUGAUCUCCUGUGUAGUAACAAUGUACUUAAUAAACAGUAUCCUCAGAUAGUAUCAAUAGGCGCAGAACUGACAAUUAGCAUAAAACAAGUCUGCUUGUCCCAGUAACCUGACUUGUAGGAAAAAAUAGUUGUUCUUGAUCAUAAAUUUUCAGAUUAACUUGGUUGUAAUCAAGUUAACUUGUCCGAGAGCUGGAGAAGCCAGGAGAAUAAGUGCUUGCAUUAAGCGGAUGAUCUCCAUUUUCCAAGUGAGCACUGCCUUUUGUCUUUCUUCUUUGUCUUUGUACUCCCUAUUUAAUUGCAACACAACUGAAUGGUGUCCUAAAUUCCAUAGGUGGCCACAGUCAACUCUAAGUAUAAGAUUUAUGCUGUAAGUAAGAGUUAUAAUUAAGAUGUUUUAGUCCAGUCUUUUCAUUUUAUAAUGCAGAUUGGAUAUACAAAGGCACACAUUUACUCUUUUUUUUCUGUCUCCAGAAUUUCUCCUGUUUAUUUUAGAUAGCUCUUUUCAUAAGCUUAUAAGACUCAUACAGUUUGCAUUUCUUGCCCUGUAGGACCCUUUCAGAAAUUUAAUCAUCAAAUGUUUAAACAUCUGGUAAUUCUGAGUCUAAAUUUAUUCAUGA